rnacentral:rRNA from 1 species
UAGCAAUACGUCAGCGGCAGACGGGUGAGUAACGCGUGGGAACGUACCUUUUGGUUCGGAACAACACAGGGAAACUUGUGCUAAUACCGGAUAAGCCCUUACGGGGAAAGAUUUAUCGCCGAAAGAUCGGCCCGCGUCUGAUUAGCUAGUUGGUGAGGUAAUGGCUCACCAAGGCGACGAUCAGUAGCUGGUCUGAGAGGAUGAUCAGCCACAUUGGGACUGAGACACGGCCCAAACUCCUACGGGAGGCAGCAGUGGGGAAUAUUGGACAAUGGGGGCAACCCUGAUCCAGCCAUGCCGCGUGAGUGAUGAAGGCCCUAGGGUUGUAAAGCUCUUUUGUGCGGGAAGAUAAUGACGGUACCGCAAGAAUAAGCCCCGGCUAACUUCGUGCCAGCAGCCGCGGUAAUACGAAGGGGGCUAGCGUUGCUCGGAAUCACUGGGCGUAAAGGGUGCGUAGGCGGGUCUUUAAGUCAGGGGUGAAAUCCUGGAGCUCAACUCCAGAACUGCCUUUGAUACUGAGGAUCUUGAGUUCGGGAGAGGUGAGUGGAACUGCGAGUGUAGAGGUGAAAUUCGUAGAUAUUCGCAAGAACACCAGUGGCGAAGGCGGCUCACUGGCCCGAUACUGACGCUGAGC